rfam:Candidatus Peribacteria bacterium RIFCSPLOWO2_12_FTLL_55_15 rifcsplowo2_12_scaffold_46, whole genome shotgun sequence.
UUUUUGAAGAGUUUGAUCCUGGCUCAGAGUGAACGCUGGCGGUGUGCCUAAAACAUGCAAGUCGAGCGAUCAGCGGUAGCAAUAUUGCUGGGAGCGGCGAACGGCUGCGUAACACGUGGGAACCUACCCCGGACUCAGGGAUAACCCCGCGAAAGCGGGGCUAAUACCGGAUGGCUCCAGCAUCCUUGGCAACAAGGGGCGCUGGAUAAAGAUUUUUCGGUCCGGGAGGGGCCUGCGGCCCAUCAGCUUGUUGGUAGGGUAACGGCCUACCAAGGCUAUGACGGGUAGCUGGUCUGAGAGGACGACCAGCCAGAAUGGAACUGCGACACGGUCCAUACUCCUACGGGAGGCAGCAGUUAGGAAUCUUCCGCAAUGGGCGAAAGCCUGACGGAGCGACACCGCGUGGAGGACGAAGCCCUUACUGGGCGUAAACUCCUGUUCUGAGGGACGAAAUUUUUGACGGUACCUCAGGAGAAAGCACCGGCUAAUCCUGUGCCAGCAGCCGCGGUAAGACAGGAGGUGCAAGCGUUACUCGGAAUGACUGGGCGUAAAGCGUCUGUAGGCGCCCCAUUAGGUCUGGCAUGAAAUCGCAGAGCUUAACUCUGCGUCCGUGUUUGAAACCGGCGGGGUUGAGGUACUCAGAGGCAUCUGGAAUGUCGUGUGUAGGGGUAAAAUCCGUUGAUACACGAUAGAACGCCAAAAGCGAAGGCAGGAUGCUAGGAGUGUCCUGACGCUCAGAGACGAAAGCGUGGGGAGCAAACCGGAUUAGAUACCCGGGUAGUCCACGCCCUAAACGAUGCGUGCUCGGUGUUGGGGAUUCAAUCUUCCUCAGUGCCCUAAGCUUACGCGGUAAGCACGCCGCCUGGGAAGUACGGCCGCAAGGCUAAAACCCAAAGGAAUAGACGGGGACCCACACAAGCGGUGGAGCAUGGGGUUUAAUUCGAUGACAAGCGAAGAACCUUACCCAGGCUUGACAUGCCAGGAACCCCGCAGAAAUGCGGGGGUGCCGCAAGGAACCUGGACACAGGCGCUGCACGGUCGUCGUCAGCUCGUGCCUUGAGGUGUACUGUUAAGUCAGUCAACGAGCGCAACCCUCAUCCUGUGUUGUUUUUUCACAGGAGACUGCCGCCUCCAAGGCGGAGGAAGGUGAGGAUGACGUCAGAUCAGCGUGGCCCUUAUGCCUGGGGCGACACCCGUGCUACAAUGGCCGGCACAAAGGGCAGCUAACCCGCGAGGGCAAGCCAAUCCCAAAAAACCGGUCUCAGUUCGGAUUGUAGUCUGCAACUCGACUGCAUGAAGUUGGAAUCGCUAGUAACCGUGAAUCAGCCACGUCACGGUGAAUAUGUUCCUGGGUCUUGUACUCACCGCCCGUCAACUCAUGGAAGGCAGGAAUGCCCGAAGCGCCUUUACCCGCAAGGGGAGGCAUCACGGCAGAUCUGCUGACUGGGAGUAAGUCGUAACAAGGUAUCCGUAGGAGAACCUGCGGAUGGAACGUUUCUGUA